rnacentral:rRNA from 1 species
GACAGAGGGGGCAAGCGUUGCUCGGAAUUACUGGGCGUAAAGGGCGCGUAGGCGGGAUGGCAAGUCGGUCGUGAAAUCCUUCGGCUCAACCGAAGAACGUCGAUCGAUACUGCUGUUCUUGAGGGUUGCAGAGGAGACUGGAAUUCCCGGUGUAGCGGUGAAAUGUGUAGAGAUCGGGAGGAACGCCGGUAGCGAAAGCGACACACUGGGUCUUGACUGACGCUGAGGCACGAAAGCCAGGGGAGCGAACGGG